GACCACGUAGCUCAGUUGGCAGAGCAAUAGAGCAUUGGGCUAGUAUUCCAAAGGUCGUGGAUUCGAUUCCCACCGUGGCCA